AAAGUUUGGCUUUGUUAAAGUGUUGUUGCAGCGGCUAGUCUGUGUAUACUUCUGAGUUCUCCUUCCUUGUAAUUGUAGUGUACGAACUUGUUACAUCUAAUUAUGAAGAUUUUGGUUUUCAUGUUUUCAACUUGUAUACAGUGACUAGACUUAUUACUUUUUUGUUCCUGUGCUUACUAGAAUGUAGAGUCCCUUGCAUUUGCUUCUACAUGAAACCAUCUUCAACUUUGAAACUGAUUGUUAUAAUAGAUAGUUCAUUGAUGAAUGAUAGGUUAGAAAGAUAAAUUUUAUAAUCUAAUUGUUAUUAUUAAGUAAUAAUCCUAUAUUCACUUCAUCCAAUAUCAUAUUUGAAUCACUUAAUUUUUGAAUCCAUAUCAUAUCACCAAUCUUCCUUCUUCCUAAGAAAAUUUAAUGUAUGAAGGAAUGUCAUGAUUUCAUAUAAUUUGUUAGGGAAAUAGUCC
rnacentral:lncRNA from 1 species